UACGUAGGGGGCAAGCGUUGUCCGGAAUCAUUGGGCGUAAAGCGCGUGUAGGCGGCCCGGUAAGUCCGCUGUGAAAGUCGGGGGCUCAACCCUCGAAUGCCGGUGGAUACUGUCGGGCUAGAGUGCGGAAGAGGCGAGUGGAAUUCCUGGUGUAGCGGUGAAAUGCGCAGAUAUCGGGAGGAACACCAAUGGCGAAGGCAGCUCGCUGGGACGUUACUGACGCUGAGGCGCGAAAGCGUGGGGAGCAAACAGG
rnacentral:rRNA from 1 species